AUUGAACGCUGGCGGCAGGCUUAACACAUGCAAGUCGAGCGGAGAUGAGGUGCUUGCACCUUAUCUUAGCGGCGGACGGGUGAGUAAUGCUUAGGAAUCUGCCUAUUAGUGGGGGACAACAUUCCGAAAGGAAUGCUAAUACCGCAUACGUCCUACGGGAGAAAGCAGGGGAUCUUCGGACCUUGCGCUAAUAGAUGAGCCUAAGUCGGAUUAGCUAGUUGGUGGGGUAAAGGCCUACCAAGGCGACGAUCUGUAGCGGGUCUGAGAGGAUGAUCCGCCACACGGGGACUGAAACACGGCCCAGACUCCUACGGGAGGCAGCAGUGGGGAAUAUUGGACAAUGGGGGGAACCCUGAUCCAGCCAUGCCGCGUGUGUGAAGAAGGCCUUAUGGUUGUAAAGCACUUUAAGCGAGGAGGAGGCUACUGAGACUAAUACUCUUGGAUAGUGGACGUUACUCGCAGAAUAAGCACCGGCUAACUCUGUGCCAGCCGCCGCGGUAAGAC
rnacentral:rRNA from 1 species